AUGCCUCCACGGAAGAGGCCCCGUGGUACUGGGAAGCCCAGCCAGAGCCACACGGCAAAAGACGGCACUGUGUGGGUUGAGGAGGACAUUGGAAUGCCCAGUGCAGAAGCAAAUCGCUCGUGCUUCACUGCGCAAGCUGGACCCACAGAGUCUGCUAAGCGUAAGAUUACAAGUGUGCUCCAAAGCUUCCUUUGCCUGUUAGACGUGGGAAUGCUGCAGACCAUCAGAGAGUGCACGUGUGGUGUAGAUGUGUUGGACCAAAUGGCACGAAUGUAUUCCAUAAGAGCAGCAACACGCAGGUGGCCAGUAGCGGUUUUCUACAAUAUGCUGUACCUUGCGGCGGUGAAUGCCUACAUUUUGUACAAGGCAUGUACAGGGUGGACAGGCAAAAGAAGAUUUUUUCUGAGUCUUCUAGCUCAGCAACUUUGUUUCCGAUUCAUGCAGCACAAGGAAAUAUUAGCACAGAGGCAGGCUGCUGAAGCUGCUGCAGCUGCUGUGCCAGGGACUGUAAAGACAACGCAGUGCCAGGUGCAAGAGAGCUGCAACAGGAAUCGCAGCAGGUUUACCUGUGCAACAUGUCAGAAAUUCACCUGUGCCAAAUGCAGGGAUGAAGGACACUGGGUCUGCAAACGCUGUAAAGUUUGA
rnacentral:lncRNA from 1 species